GGGGAUGGGGCUGGAGCUCAGUGGAAGAGCAUCUGCUUUGUAUGCAGAAGGCCUCAGGUUCAAUUCCUGGCAUCUCCA